rnacentral:rRNA from 2 species
GGUUAAGCGACUAAGCGUACACGGUGGAUGCCCUGGCAGUCAGAGGCGAUGAAGGGCGUGCUAAUCUGCGAUAAGCGCCGGUAAGGUGAUAUGAACCGUUAUAACCGGCGAUACCCGAAUGGGGAAACCCAGUGUGACUCGUCACACUAUCAUUAACUGAAUCCAUAGGUUAAUGAGGCGAACCGGGGGAACUGAAACAUCUAAGUACCCCGAGGAAAAGAAAUCAACCGAGAUUCCCCCAGUAGCGGCGAGCGAACGGGGAGGAGCCCAGAGCCUGAAUCAGCAUGUGUGUUAGUGGAAGCGUCUGGAAAGGCGCGCGAUACAGGGUGACAGCCCCGUACACAAAAGCGCAUGUGCUGUGAGCUCGAUGAGUAGGGCGGGACACGUGGUAUCCUGUCUGAAUAUGGGGGGACCAUCCUCCAAGGCUAAAUACUCCUGACUGACCGAUAGUGAACCAGUACCGUGAGGGAAAGGCGAAAAGAACCCCGGCGAGGGGAGUGAAAAAGAACCUGAAACCGUGUACGUACAAGCAGUGGGAGCACCCUUUGGGGUGUGACUGCGUACCUUUUGUAUAAUGGGUCAGCGACUUAUAUUCUGUAGCAAGGUUAACCGUAUAGGGGAGCCGUAGGGAAACCGAGUCUUAACCGGGCGUUAAGUUGCAGGGUAUAGACCCGAAACCCGGUGAUCUAGCCAUGGGCAGGUUGAAGGUUGGGUAACACUAACUGGAGGACCGAACCGACUAAUGUUGAAAAAUUAGCGGAUGACCUGUGGCUGGGGGUGAAAGGCCAAUCAAACCGGGAGAUAGCUGGUUCUCCCCGAAAGCUAUUUAGGUAGCGCCUCGUGAAUUCAUCUCCGGGGGUAGAGCACUGUUUCGGCUAGGGGGCCAUCCCGGCUUACCAACCCGAUGCAAACUGCGAAUACCGGAGAAUGUUAUCACGGGAGACACACGGCGGGUGCUAACGUCCGUCGUGAAGAGGGAAACAACCCAGACCGCCAGCUAAGGUCCCAAAGUCAUGGUUAAGUGGGAAACGAUGUGGGAAGGCCCAGACAGCCAGGAUGUUGGCUUAGAAGCAGCCAUCAUUUAAAGAAAGCGUAAUAGCUCACUGGUCGAGUCGGCCUGCGCGGAAGAUGUAACGGGGCUAAACCAUGCACCGAAGCUGCGGCAGCGACGCUGAUGCGUUGUUGGGUAGGGGAGCGUUCUGUAAGCCUGCGAAGGUGACCUGUGAGGGUUGCUGGAGGUAUCAGAAGUGCGAAUGCUGACAUAAGUAACGAUAAAGCGGGUGAAAAGCCCGCUCGCCGGAAGACCAAGGGUUCCUGUCCAACGUUAAUCGGGGCAGGGUGAGUCGACCCCUAAGGCGAGGCCGAAAGGCGUAGUCGAUGGGAAACGGGUUAAUAUUCCCGUACUUGGUGUUACUGCGAAGGGGGGACGGAGAAGGCUAUGUUGGCCGGGCGACGGUUGUCCCGGUUUAAGCGUGUAGGUGUGUGUUCCAGGUAAAUCCGGUUCACUUUAACACUGAGGCGUGAUGACGAGGCACUACGGUGCUGAAGCAACAAAUGCCCUGCUUCCAGGAAAAGCCUCUAAGCAUCAGGUAACAUCAAAUCGUACCCCAAACCGACACAGGUGGUCAGGUAGAGAAUACCAAGGCGCUUGAGAGAACUCGGGUGAAGGAACUAGGCAAAAUGGUGCCGUAACUUCGGGAGAAGGCACGCUGACACGUAGGUGAAGUGAUUUACUCACGGAGCUGAAGUCAGUCGAAGAUACCAGCUGGCUGCAACUGUUUAUUAAAAACACAGCACUGUGCAAACACGAAAGUGGACGUAUACGGUGUGACGCCUGCCCGGUGCCGGAAGGUUAAUUGAUGGGGUCAGCGCAAGCGAAGCUCCUGAUCGAAGCCCCGGUAAACGGCGGCCGUAACUAUAACGGUCCUAAGGUAGCGAAAUUCCUUGUCGGGUAAGUUCCGACCUGCACGAAUGGCGUAAUGAUGGCCAGGCUGUCUCCACCCGAGACUCAGUGAAAUUGAACUCGCUGUGAAGAUGCAGUGUACCCGCGGCAAGACGGAAAGACCCCGUGAACCUUUACUAUAGCUUGACACUGAACAUUGAGCCUUGAUGUGUAGGAUAGGUGGGAGGCUUUGAAGUGUGGACGCCAGUCUGCAUGGAGCCGACCUUGAAAUACCACCCUUUAAUGUUUGAUGUUCUAACGUGGACCCGUUACCCGGGUUGCGGACAGUGUCUGGUGGGUAGUUUGACUGGGGCGGUCUCCUCCUAAAGAGUAACGGAGGAGCACGAAGGUUGGCUAAUCCUGGUCGGACAUCAGGAGGUUAGUGCAAUGGCAUAAGCCAGCUUGACUGCGAGCGUGACGGCGCGAGCAGGUGCGAAAGCAGGUCAUAGUGAUCCGGUGGUUCUGAAUGGAAGGGCCAUCGCUCAACGGAUAAAAGGUACUCCGGGGAUAACAGGCUGAUACCGCCCAAGAGUUCAUAUCGACGGCGGUGUUUGGCACCUCGAUGUCGGCUCAUCACAUCCUGGGGCUGAAGUAGGUCCCAAGGGUAUGGCUGUUCGCCAUUUAAAGUGGUACGCGAGCUGGGUUUAGAACGUCGUGAGACAGUUCGGUCCCUAUCUGCCGUGGGCGCUGGAGAACUGAGGGGGGCUGCUCCUAGUACGAGAGGACCGGAGUGGACGCAUCACUGGUGUUCGGGUUGUCAUGCCAAUGGCACUGCCCGGUAGCUAAAUGCGGAAGAGAUAAGUGCUGAAAGCAUCUAAGCACGAAACUUGCCCCGAGAUGAGUUCUCCCUGAGACUUAAAGUCUCCUGAAGGAACGUUGAAGACGACGACGUUGAUAGGCCGGGUGUGUAAGCGCAGCGAUGCGUUGAGCUAACCGGUACUAAUGAACCGUGAGGCUUAACCUU